rnacentral:rRNA from 1 species
AGCGAACGCUGGCGGCAGGCCUAACACAUGCAAGUCGAACGAAGCCUUCGGGCUUAGUGGCGGACGGGUGAGUAACACGUGGGAACGUACCUUUUGGUUCGGAAUAACGCAGAGAAAUUUGCGCUAAUACCGGAUGAGCCCUUCGGGGGACAGAUUUAUCGCCGAAAGAUCGGCCCACGUUGGAUUAGGUAGUUGGGGUGGUCAAGGCGCACCAAGCCAACGAUCCAUAGCUGGUCUGAGAGGAUGAUCAGCCACACUGGGACUGAGACACGGCCCAGACUCCUACGGGAGGCAGCAGUGGGGAAGCUUGCGCAAUGGGCGAAAGCCUGACACAGCCAUGCCGCGUGAAUGAUGAAGGUCUUAGGAUUGUAAAAUUCUUUUACCAGGGACGAUAAUGACGGUACCUGGAGAAAAAGCCCCGGCUAACUUCGUGCCAGCCGCCGCCGUAACAC